rnacentral:lncRNA from 1 species
GAAGCAUGUCAUAUGGUCCUAUACAUACAUACUCAGGUAUGAUCGAGGAUGGCUUCAAUUCUAAGACCGAUGGUGAUUCUAAAGAGAAAGCUAUUAGAGCAAGUAUUGCAAGUAAAAGCUCAUAUUUCUCAGUCCAUGAGGGAGUGGUGCUAAAAUUAGGUGUCUCUAGUAAUGUGUGUACAUUUUCAACAUAUCCAUCUAGGUUAAAAUCAUCCACUCCAAAAGAAUCCCAACAUGUAUGCACUGGAUCCUGAGAAAUUUUUCUAAGGGUAGCUUCCUCUAUUGUAUCUUUUUGAGAUAAAGUCAUAUGGUAGAAUUGGAUUGCUCUAAUUAUUUAAAGAAAGAGGGAGAGAAGAAGAAGAGAAGAGAAAAGGAAGAAAGUGAGAAGUUCUAAAGAUGAAAAUCCUAAGAGAGUCCUAAACUUAGAGACGAUAGAUGCAAAGAAUUUAAUUUAGAUUAGAUAUUUUCAAUUAGCAAUCAAGUAUGUCAAUUAAUCCUAGCUAAGGGUUGUCCUAAAUCUAGACAGCUCCUAACUGCC